rnacentral:rRNA from 2 species
UGAAACACGGACCAAGGAGUCUAACAUGUGCGCGAGUUAUUGGGAAUCAAAACCCAAAGGCGUAAUGAAAGUAAAGCCCGCUUGCGGGUGACAUGGGAUCCCAGCUUCGGCUGGGCGCACCAUGGUCCCAUCUAAGCUGCUUGCCAGCUGGGUGGCGACAGAGCGUACACGUUGGGACCCGAAAGAUGGUGAACUAUGCCUGUGCAGGACGAAGCCAGAGGAAACUCUGGUGGAGGUUCUUAGCGGUUCUGACGUGCAAAUCGAUCGUCAGACAUGGGUAUAGGGGCGAAAGACUAAUCGAACCAUCUAGUAGCUGGUUCCCUCCGAAGUUUCCCUCAGGAUAGCUGGCACUCGGAGUACACUUUUAUCCGGUAAAGCGAAUGAUUAGAGGCCUUGGGGACGAAAUGACCUCAACCUAUUCUCAAACUUUAAAUGGGUAAGACGUCUUGCUUGCCUGACCGAAGCACAGACAGUGAAUGAGAGUGCCAAGUGGGCCAAUUUUGGUAAGCA